CCCCGACCUGUUUUCGUAAGAAGGAGAUCGGCGUCGAGCGCCAUUCGGCUGGCUGACUCCGCACGCGUCGCGUCUCUACUCCGUCUCGUUAUAAGGCUUAGUCGCCGAAUUUCUAGACUCAAACGGAAAUCGAUUCGGAUCGACGACGUCCCCCUGAAGUCCCAUCACACCUACUGAAAAUUCGAAAAUUCACUCUCGGCCGGAUCGACGACCUUGACACGUACGGGACGAUCUUCUCCCUCGACGCUACGGGGAAAACGUUCAGCAAACCAAAGCCAACCCGUGGCGGCGUACGUCUCUCGUCCCAUAGCUGGGAUCGUAGCGACCCUCGUACAACCCUCUUUACGGUACCUACAACGAGGGUUGUUCCAUACACGAUGUGGUUUAAUUCAACGUGAGACGACUCGAGAGGGGAAGAACGAGGGAUGCAGCGAGAACAUCGGGGGGGGGAUGUGAGAAUUGUCGCAGAAAACAAGUCAGCGAGUAACGCGACGUAGAGAGGGAUUGAAAGAAAAAUUGAAAAACGGAACGGAGAGGGAAGAGGGGUGGAUUGUUAUCAGCUAAAUUAGUCGGGGGAAUCAAUUAUUCGCGUAUUUUAUGCCGGCGGGUAAGAGGCAGAAGUACAGGUAUUGUAUUCGUCGUAGGGGGCGCCGCAGGUGCACGAGUAAUAAAUUCUUUUUUGUUUUUUUUUUUUUUUUUUUUUUUUUUUUUUCAUCCGCGUUCUCGUUACCGUCACAAUCAUCCUUCCGAUUAUCGUCAUUAUCGUCGGAAGGCUUAUUUUAUUUUUUUUUUUUACUGUUCAGCGUAAAUUCCUACGUUCUUAUGUACGCAUUGUGGUUCCGCUGCACCGUGCGCUCACAAUAAACUUGUUUCUGUCCCGAGUGUCAUCCCACCAGAACCGACAUCAAUACCCAUCCCACGGGAACAACGUCUGUUUCCCACGAAGAUAGAUUACGCCACGACGAAACCGUACACGCGUAUACACACGCGUCUCUUAUCGUAUAUAUAUAUAUAUAUUUGUGAUAGCUCCGUUUUUACCUUCCACUGAAAUUGCAUACACAUAAUACACGUGUAAUGAGCAAUUUUACGUUUAAUUGAAAAAACGUGGAUAAUUUUUUAAAUGGAAAAAAAACUGAAAAAAAAACAAAUCGCUCUCCGUACGUACGAACAAUAUACAUGCACAUUUAUAUUGUACACGUAAACGAACAACCCCCCCCGAAGUAUCUACGUACGAUGUGAAGUAUAUAUUUGUUAUAAAUCUACGGUCGUUGUUCGAGUUUGAUUUUAUGGAAAAAGGGAUGAAAAAAAUUGAACUAUAUUUUUUU